UCAGGCCCAGACGGUGAAGGAGGUCUUUGCCAAGCAGCUGAUGCAGAUUAACGGGAUCAGCGGGGAGAAAGCGAUCGCCAUCCUCCGCCAUUACGACUCGGUGGCCAGCUUGAUGAAAGCCUAUGAGGAGUGCCCGACUGCUGGAGGGAGGGAGAAGCUGCUGUCCAACAUUAAGUGUGGCAGCACACAGAGAAACUUGGGUCCAGCCCUGAGCAAGACGGUUGCUCAGCUGUACUGCACCGAGGGACCUCUGUGCUGAGGGUUCUCGCUCAGUGACCGAACCGAGAAGGCCUCAGGCCCUGUCCCUGGAAACAGCUCGCCGUCCGUCACUGCCUUCCUUUGGAUCUUUGACUUCUUGGGGUUUUUUUUUUGUGUUUGGAGAGGGAGAGGUUUGGAGGGAGGCGGGGGGGUGUGCGCAGCGUUGGCCAUUCUCACGCCUCAAGUUGCUUGAACGAUCGCGGCCAUUCCCUCGCGCUUCCUGACCAGGGCCCACCUGGUGGGGGGGGGAUGGGGGGGGGCACGCAACUCCCCGUGUGAGGGGCAGCCCCCCUCUGUUUGGAAAUUCACGCCAACGGCAAGACUUUUGCUUCUCAAGUUUUUAACAAAAGAGAAAAGCACAUGGGCGAUCUGUCCCUCUGUCCAUGUUUACCCAUCGUCAGUUUUAUUUUGCUGGGAAGGUGCUAUUUAUUUUUGUAAAACUUGGCGCUAAAUAUCAUCGAUAAAGUCCUCAUUUUUUAUUUCUAUCUUGGCCACCAACCCGAUUUUAACCUAGACAAACAAGGUGGGUUUUUUUUUAAAUUUCUCAAGGCCACAAGUCAUCAAUAACCUCCUUCAUUUUGAUAUAUGCAGCUUUCCAUUUUUGAAAGCUGUUUAGGAUAAGCACUGCCAUUUCCUGUCGGAAUCAAUGCAUGCCUUGAUUUGUGUUUCCAUGUUUUAAAACUAUCAGUGUUUGGGAACAUGAGGCCGUUCGGCCAACUUUACUGUUCACAGGCGCUCAAAUAUCUAGCUUGUCUCCGUAGUAUCGACGUCUAACGUGGACAAUUAACUGCUCAGUUAAAUUUUAGACGGGUGUUCAGAAAGAGAGGCAGGAAUUUGAGAUUUCUCAUUGACCCUCAUCAGGACCACGAUGCAAGAAAACCAGUUUUUGUUUUCAGAGAGGUGUCAUUGGUUGGUCUCUGGUUUCCUUGGAGAUCCAGCAAGAAUUGUUAAUUGCCAAUCGAAAUUAACUGGUUAACUUCAACUGUGAUUGGUCAGGCCGUUGCCACCGGAGCUUUUUU